AUUGAACGCUGGCGGCAUGCUUUACACAUGCAAGUCGAACGGUAACAGGCCUUCGGGUGCUGACGAGUGGCGCACGGGUGAGUAAUGCAUCGGAACGUGCCCAGAGGUGGGGGAUAACGCAGCGAAAGCUGUGCUAAUACCGCAUGUGAUCUGAGGAUGAAAGCGGGGGACCAGGCAGCAAUGUUUGGCCUCGCGCCUUUGGAGCUGCCGAUGUCAGAUUAGGUAGUUGGUGGGGUAAAGGCCUACCAAGCCGACGAUCUGUAGCUGGUCUGAGAGGACGACCAGCCACACUGGGACUGAGACACGGCCCAGACUCCUACGGGAGGCAGCAGUGGGGAAUUUUGGACAAUGGGCGCAAGCCUGAUCCAGCAAUGCCGCGUGCGGGAAGAAGGCCUUCGGGUUGUAAACCGCUUUUGUACGGAACGAAAAGGCUCUGGCUAAUACCUGGGGCUGAUGACGGUACCGUAAGAAUAAGCACCGGCUAACUACGUG
rnacentral:rRNA from 1 species